rnacentral:rRNA from 1 species
GGACGACCGCUGGCGGCGUGCUUAACACAUGCAAGUCGAACGGAAAGGCCCUGCUUUUGUGGGGUGCUCGAGUGGCGAACGGGUGAGUAACACGUGAGUAACCUGCCCUUGACUUUGGGAUAACUUCAGGAAACUGGGGCUAAUACCGGAUAGGAGCUCCUGCUGCAUGGUGGGGGUUGGAAAGUUUCGGCGGUUGGGGAUGGACUCGCGGCUUAUCAGCUUGUUGGUGGGGUAGUGGCUUACCAAGGCUUCGACGGGUAGCCGGCCUGAGAGGGUGACCGGCCACAUUGGGACUGAGAUACGGCCCAGACUCCUACGGGAGGCAGCAGUGGGGAAUAUUGCACAAUGGGCGGAAGCCUGAUGCAGCAACGCCGCGUGCGGGAUGACGGCCUUCGGGUUGUAAACCGCUUUCGCCUGUGACGAAGCGUGAGUGACGGUAAUGGGUAAAGAAGCACCGGCUAACUACGUG